rnacentral:rRNA from 1 species
UACGUAGGGGGCGAGCGUUGUCCGGAUUCAUUGGGCGUAAAGAGCUCGUAGGCGGCUUGGCAAGUCAAGUGUGAAAUCUCCAGGCUUAACCUGGAGUCGCCACUCGAUACUGCCAUGGCUAGAGUCCGGUAGGGGACCAUGGAAUUCCUGGUGUAGCGGUGAAAUGCGCAGAUAUCAGGAGGAACACCAGUGGCGAAGGCGGUGGUCUGGGCCGGUACUGACGCUGAGGAGCGAAAGCGUGGGGAGCGAACAGGAUUAGAUACCCUCGUAGUCC